rnacentral:tRNA from 1 species
GCCCAGCUAGCUCAGUUGGUAGAGCAUGAGGCUCUUAAUCUCAGGGUCGUGGGUUCAAGCCCCAUGUUGGGCA